ANCAUGCAAGUCGAACGGCAGCGGGAAAGUAGCUUGCUACUUUUGCCGGCGAGUGGCGAACGGGUGAGUAAUGUAUCGGAACGUGCCCAGUAGCGGGGGAUAACUACGCGAAAGCGUGGCUAAUACCGCAUACGCCCUACGGGGGAAAGGGGGGGAUCUUAGGACCUCUCACUAUUGGAGCGGCCGAUAUCGGAUUAGCUAGUUGGUGGGGUAAAGGCCUACCAAGGCGACGAUCCGUAGCUGGUUUGAGAGGACGACCAGCCACACUGGGACUGAGACACGGCCCAGACUCCUACGGGAGGCAGCAGUGGGGAAUUUUGGACAAUGGGGGAAACCCUGAUCCAGCCAUCCCGCGUGUGCGAUGAAGGCCUUCGGGUUGUAAAGCACUUUUGUCAGGGAAGAAAAGGUUUCGGAUAAUACCCGGAACUGAUGACGGUACCUGAAGAAUAAGCACCGGCUAACUACGUGCCAGCAGCCGCGGUAAUACGUAGGGUGCAAGCGUUAAUCGGAAUUACUGGGCGUAAAGCGUGCGCAGGCGGUUCGGAAAGAAAGAUGUGAAAUCCCAGGGCUCAACCUUGGAACUGCAUUUUUAACUACCGAACUAGAGUAUGUCAGAGGGGGGUGGAAUUCCACGUGUAGCAGUGAAAUGCGUAGAUAUGUGGAGGAACACCGAUGGCGAAGGCAGCCCCCUGGGAUAAUACUGACGCUCAUGCACGAAAGCGUGGGGAGCAAACAGGAUUAGAUACCCUGGUAGUCCACGCCCUAAACGAUGUCAACUAGCUGUUGGGCCCUUCGGGGCUUAGUAGCGCAGCUAACGCGUGAAGUUGACCGCCUGGGGAGUACGGUCGCAAGAUUAAAACUCAAAGGAAUUGACGGGGACCCGCACAAGCGGUGGAUGAUGUGGAUUAAUUCGAUGCAACGCGAAAAACCUUACCUACCCUUGACAUGUCUGGAAUCCUGAAGAGAUUUAGGAGUGCUCGCAAGAKAACCGGAACMCAGGUGCUGCAUGGCUGUCGUCAGCUCCUGUCC
rnacentral:rRNA from 1 species